AAACAUACACGAAUACACACAAUCAUGUAUACACACAUUGUGGAAUUAAAUGAACCAACAUGCACUAAUUCGCUUUCUCUCGGUGUCCAAUGUUUUGGAUGUGCUGCUUGAGUGAGAACCAAAAAGGCGUGGAAGCCAACAAAAAAAAAGUACACGUCCUUACCUUUUCCAACAACUUUGGCAGAACCAUCGGUAUUUAUAACGACUGCGUUUGUUACGAUCGUGUUGUUGUUGGUUUCAUUGGGUUGGGACAUUUCAGGCAUGGUUGGGAUCUCCUCUUGUGCGACGGGGAUCAGGGUGAUGAUGGUCGGCUGAGCAACCGUCUCAUCUUGAUCCUCGGGGGUCUGGUCCCGCUCUGGGGUCGCCUCCAUACUCUCCGUGUGACACUGUAAGACCUCCACGGUGAACGGUUUGUGUUUUCCACCAACGGAGUGGUUUUUUCCUUAUUCAACAACUUUUGGGAUACACCUGUGUCCGAUCCUGGUUAAUUCCACUGGAAAGAUAUAGUUGUGAAAAAAUUGUGUCAAAGAAGUUAUUCCAGCGAAUCAUAAUAAACACCGAUCAUUCAUAAAAGUUUGUAUUGCUCUCAUGGUUAAACUUCCGUAAGAAAUGUUGACAGAAGGCAACCAUGUAAAGCCGCGCAGCGGUUCGCAGGUCGGAGCAAACAUGCGUGAAGAAAAUAAAGAGUAUAUACACUACCUGUCGAUGGUGUCCAGUCAACCGUGUGUCGGACCAGACGAACAAGAAAGGGGAACGAAACCAGAACCAGAAUGGGUAAGGAGACAGAACCACCCAGUUCAAGAUGAAAAAAUGGACGAUACGUUUACAAAGCUGGCAAAAUCCGUUGUAAUGAUUUUGUCUAUUUUUUUACCUUCAUGCAUAUUUAAAGAUUUACCUGAGAGUUGAUUGGUCGGCCUCGUCUUUCCCGCCAUUAAAUGGCUUCGUCACCGACGUGGUGUUUCGCUAACAGGCGACAUAGAUUUAAGAACUAGGGCCAUUUUAUGUGGUAUGUGGAUGCUUAUUUUUCGUUUAAGAAGGCAUUGGGGAUCAUGUGUUAAGGUUUUGUGUUUGUGAUCACCUGAAUAUAGCUACCUGAUCCAUAUUAUGGCUGAAACCCGACACCAGGUGUAGGGCUAGGAAGAAAACGGGGCGUGGAUUUGCAUGACAAAUCUUCCCUGCCGUAAACGUUAUAAUAAUUAAGGUUAUGACGACAAUAGGCUGUAUGAUUGAUAUAUCAGAGGCACCUGAUGAAGGAUAGGUUGAUUAUUUGUCACCGAAAUUCUCUAUCAGAUGGGACAAUCUUCAAAAACAACAUCGAGAAAUUCAUUUAUAGAUAGUAUCAAACUUUGUCUCGAUGCUUUCCUUUCGACUUUUAAUGGUUUCAAGCUCGCAUACAUGUACCAAAAAUGUUACACUAGUAAACAAGAGAAAAACUAUCAAAUACUAAGCUAAAGGGUCCCAGCGAGCAAAGCCCAUUUUUAGAGGGUUAAAAUCUCUAAUCAACAAAGAUCUAUGCAAGCAGCCAUCUUUGUAACAGAGCCUAAAGGCAAGAUCUGACGGAACACACAUCUACCUGGACAAAAACCGAGACCAGUUUCUUUUUUAUAUGCGUGCGUUUCGUAUUUACUGUAGGCAUAUAAAGAAUAAACCCCGAGCGAAGUACACCCAGCUAAGGCAAAUAUCGCAUUUCUGUUCUUUAUUCCUGCAGUAAUACAGCAGUAUAAGAGGGCAUUAAUACACCAUUGAAACCCACUUGGCAGUUCCAAUAUGAAUAGGUAAAUUUUUCUUCUCAGGAGGACUGUUUUCGUUUUAGUUUGGGGUCCUUAAAUAAUAAAAAGGUAAUGAUUGUUUUGUUCAGGGACACACUCUUGUAAUGGCUCCCUUUUGCAAACUGCUAAAUGUACGAAUUGUCUAGUCUGAACAAAGGAUGGUGACAUUUUAUCCUGAAUUAUAGAACAUUUACAAAUUUAUAGUUUGUACUUGUCACUUUUCCUUCAGCUAAAAUUGAUUAUAAAAAGAAUUUAUCUUAUUAUUUAUUAACUUUCAACAUUAUGUGGCAAAUUUUCAAUAUUUUAAGAAAAGGAACUUGGAAUUCCCCCCCCCUCCAAACAACCAUAAAUGAAUUCGCUCAAAAUUUAGGGGGUAAUCUGCACGGUAAGGUAUAAUUUUUUUUAUUAAACAAUGCAUGGAUUCAUUUUUGGAAAGAAGCUAUUAAAAAACAUGGUAUGGUAAUAUAUGACGCAUGAGUAAGCAGAUCUUACAACUACACCAUGACAUGUGGAAACCGAAGUUUGGCUUUUUGUUCUAGUUCAAUGCUCAUUGCUGGGGUCCUCCGAAACUGGGGUAAAAAGCGUGACCCUGAAAGGUCAGGGUCCUUUAUAAUGUCAAUUAAACCUUACACUAAGAUUUGCUGAGUAAAUAUUUGUCGAUGUAAGACACUGCUUGUUAUUUCUAUCAUGUUGUAAAUUUUGAAUUUACCGGGUGGCUGUAAAUUCCAAACCUGCAACAUGACAUUUCGGUGAUGCUUUGAAAACAACUCCAAAAUUUCGGUCUAGAAGGUAAUGGUAACUUGAUGAAAUAUUUUAAUCUACUGUACAUAUAUAUAUCAACUGUUGGUUGUGUUUUGAUUUUUUGGGGCAUAAAACUUGAUCUAAUUUACAUUAAACAAACAGGUGCUUUAAAUAUUCCUUCACUUAUACAUUGCCAUUUUGAAUCUAUGAGCGGUUUCCUAUUUGAUACCGUACCCGUGUGUUUAGGUAACUCUAACCUAGGUAGGUGAAUUAUGCAAUCUUUGACCCAGAUUUAUGAAAUAUGCAAUUUACAUAAAAAUGUUUGCACAUGUGAGUAUUCUUAAGGAAAAUACAUAUAAACAGGUUGUUUUGUUUUUUUGUUUUUGCUUCGGAUCGGAUUUAAAAAGUAUUUUGUUUUGAUGUGGACUACCAGAAUUGCAAACCUCGUAAAGUGUUAUUUUGUGUUGUCUACUAUUAAAUAACA
rnacentral:sRNA from 1 species